rnacentral:rRNA from 1 species
AUUGAACGCUGGCGGCAGGCCUAACACAUGCAAGUCGAGCGGAGCGGCGGACGGGUGAGUAAUGCCUAGGAAUCGGGCUGGUAGUGGGGGAGAACGUCAGGAAACGGGCGCGAAUACCGCAUACUAGCGGAUUAGGCUGGGUCGGAUUGGCUAGUGGGAGGGGUAAAGGCAUACCAAGGCGACGGUCCGGAACUGGUCUUAGAGGAUGAUCAGUCACACUGGGACUGAGACACGGUCCAGACUCCUACGGGAGGCAGCAGUGGGGAAUAUUGGACAAUGGGCGAAAGCCUGAUCCAGCCAUGCCGCGUGUGUGAAGAAGGUCUUCGGAUUGUAAAGCACUUUCAGUUGGGAGGCGUUACCAACAGAAUAAGCACCGGCUAACUUCGUGCCAGCAGCCGCGGUAAUAC